rnacentral:tRNA from 1 species
AGUUUUAUAUUCAAUCAAUGAUUUUAAAUUGCAAAUUUAAAGUAGUAAAUUUAUUUACUAAAGCUU